GAGCAGGGCCGUGCGGCGCCGGAGCACGUCGCGGAGGAGGAUCAGCUGGGUGACUGCCUGUCCAUCGGCUCGAUCGACCUCGAUCUGGAGGGCAUCGAGCUGGGCUUCAUGAUGAGCCCGUGGAGCGGCGACGGCGGCGGCGUGGGUGGUCAGCAUUUCGGUGCUCCCGGGACUGAGGGCAUGGGCAAUGAUCUGGAGGAGCUGCUCGGGCUGGGCGUGGUCGGAGAAGACGGCAACGGCGACGGCCAUGGUGGACUCGGUGACCUGGAGUUGGCGUGGCUUUGAUGGCCCGGGUGAACGGUCAAAAUGUCAAAUGUGUUAGCGUGAAUAUAUAUUUACGUGCAGUAAAUUACGACUUGCAUAGCUCAGUUCAUAGAAUGUGUAUAGAUUACAACAGGUUGGUGCUGUAAAUAAAGUACCGCUGCCAAAUAAGCUGGAGUGCCUUGGUCCAUCCCUAAUUCCUG
rnacentral:lncRNA from 1 species